rnacentral:rRNA from 1 species
GGUUGUCGUCAGCCCGUGUCGUGAGAUGUUGGUUAAGUCCGCACGAGCGCAACCCCUACUUGUUAGUUGUCCAUCAUUCAGUUGGGCACUCUAGCGAGACUGCCGGUAAUAAACCGGAGGAAGUGGGAUGACGUCAAAUCAUCAUGCCCCUUAUGACCUGGGCUACACACGUGCUACAAUGGUUGGUACAACGAGUUGCGAGUCGGUGACGGCGAGCUAAUCUCUUAAAGCCAAUCUCAGUUCGGAUUGUAGGCUGCAACUCGCCUACAUGAAGUCGGAAUCGCUAGUAAUCGCGGAUCAGCACGCCGCGGUGAAUACGUUCCCGGGCCUU